AAGGAGGUGAUCCAGCCGCAGGUUCUCCUACGGCUACCUUGUUACGACUUCACCCCAAUCGCUGACCCUACCUUCGGCCGCGCCCUCCUAAAAGGUUAGGCUACGGACUUCGGGUAUUGCCAACUCUCAUGGUGUGACGGGCGGUGUGUACAAGGCCCGGGAACGUAUUCACCGCGACAUUCUGAUUCGCGAUUACUAGCAACUCCAGCUUCAUGCAGGCGAGUUUCAGCCUGCAAUCCGAACUGAGACGAGUUUUAUAAGUUUUGCUCCACCUCGCGGCUUUGCGUCUCUUUGUACUCGCCAUUGUAGCACGUGUGUNNCCCUANACAUAAGGGGCAUGAUGAUUGANGUCUCCCCACCUUCCUCCGCNUAACACGGNGUCNGCUAAAUGCUCACUAAUGGUANCACUACAAUAAGGGUGGGCUCGUUGNGGGANUUAACCCAACNUCUCNCGAAACGACUGANNAAAACAUGCCCCCCUUNUUUNCUNUCCCCCAAGGGAAACCCNCUANAANAUUNGGANU
rnacentral:rRNA from 1 species